rnacentral:lncRNA from 1 species
GAGCCGGGCAGUUGCUGGGGCAGAAGGGACUGGAGGAUGGGAUAGAAGGGCAAAGAUGGGGUGACUGGAGAUGAGACGCGGGGCCCAGCCCGCUGCCCCCCGCCGUCGCCAAUGCGGUCCUUUGUCCCUCCUUAGGCGACGUUCCGCUGUCCCCUGGAGCUCCCUUGGAGCGGCCCGCCGAAGAAGAGGAGGACGAAGAGGACGGCCAGGAGCCUGGGGGACUCGCCUUGCCGCCGCCGCCUCCUCCCCCGCCUCCGCCCCCGCCCCGCAGCCGGGAGCAGCGGCGGAACUACCAGCCGCGGUGGCGGGGCGAGUACCUGAUGGACUACGACGGCAGCCGGCGCGGCCUGGUGUGUAUGGUGUGCGGGGGCGCGCUGGCCACGCUCAAGAGCUGCAGAAACAACUAACCUUCAAGGAGUCAACCAGAUCUUCUACCAGAAAGAGACGAAUAAUGAGUUUCAGGGCCCUGUUGAUGUGCACCAUGGCAGCAUUCAUGUAAUUAUGGAAAGCUUCUGAGGACAGAGUAAUGUCUACGUCCAGACUUCAACUCACUUGAAUGGAUGGCCUUCUUCUGACUUCUGUACAGCUUGGAUGACGGACUUGUAGAUCCUGAAGCUGAUGGUGACAGAGAGAAGAGCCAGGAUGAGAGUCUUGCUCUGUCGCCAGGCUCGAGUGCAAUGGUGUGGUCUCGGCUCACUGCAAUCUCUGCCUCCCAGGUUCAAGCGAUUCUCCCACCUCAGCCUUCGAGUAGCUGACAUUACAGGUUGGUUGAACCCAAGGAUGCAGAACCUGCGGAUGCAGAGGACUGACUGUAUAAGAUUCUCUUGAUAGCUUCGAAGAAGCAAGCUACCAUGUUGUGAGAGGGCCAUGAGGUUAGCACCCGCAGGCAGCUUCUAGGAGCUGAGCAUGAUUUCCCCAGCUGACAUCCAGGGAGAAAGAAAGUGGGUAUCUCAUUCCACAACUUCCAGGAACUGAAUUCUGUCAACAACCAGCCAGCUUGG